GACGAACGCUGGCGGCGUGCUUAACACAUGCAAGUCGAGCGGUAAGGCCCUUUCGGGGGUACACGAGCGGCGAACGGGUGAGUAACACGUGGGUGACCUGCCCUCAGCUCUGGGAUAAGCCUGGGAAACCGGGUCUAAUACUGGAUAUGACUCCAUGACGCAUGUUGUGGGGUGGAAAGCCUUGUGCGGCUGAGGAUGGGCCCGCGGCCUAUCAGUCUUGGUUGGUGGGGUGAUGGCCUACCAAGGCGACGACGGGUAGCCGGCCUGAGAGGGCGACCGGCCACACUGGGACUGAGACACGGCCCAGAC
rnacentral:rRNA from 1 species